CAGAGGUCCGGAGUUUCAUUAUGUAUCAGAGCUCCGGAGAUGUGGCAGUUCCCCCAAUGUCAGAUCAUGGUGCAGAGGGCAAUAUAUCACCAGUAAGAGGCCGCCCUGCGAGACCGUGCUUUGAACUAGAUCCAUUUGGCAAUGGUCAGAUCCAUCAACCUGAGCCCCGGAUUUCACUUAGCAACUUGUGCUAUUUAAAGCGUCUGCGGUUUCUUUAAUCGACACACAGCUGUUUGUCUUCAUCUAAAUGUAGCAAUAAUAAAGCAAGUGUACUUGU